UACGUAGGAGGCGAGCGUUGUCCGGAAUUACUGGGCGUAAAGCGCACGUAGGCGGCUAUUCAGGUCAGAGGUGAAAGCCCGGGGCUCAACCCCGGAACUGCCUUUGAAACUAGAUAGCUAGAAUCUUGGAGAGGUCAGUGGAAUUCCGAGUGUAGAGGUGAAAUUCGUAGAUAUUCGGAAGAACACCAGUGGCGAAGGCGACUGACUGGACAAGUAUUGACGCUGAGGUGCGAAAGCGUGGGGAGCAAACAGG
rnacentral:rRNA from 1 species